ensembl:lncRNA
CCCGGCAGGACAUGCCGAGUUAUCUCCUACUUCUGGCGAAGGCCUACGUCCUCUCUUUUGGGGAAGGCUCCGCCCCUGCUAGUCCUGGCAGGAUACGCCGAGUCCGCACGUCACCCUGGAUCAGUGACGAGGCUCAUGCCAAAGAUUUACCAUGCAAAAUAUUCCCAUGUCGUUAUUUAAAUAAAUCCUGUUCAUACUUAUCGGUGAUCGAGUCUUUAUGGGAGAAAUGUUAAGCUUGCUGGUAGUUCUACCAGGAGGACUCAAAUCACGCGCGGCUGGCCACCAAUCACCUGCCUACACCUGCUCUAUAAAGAGUAGUCUAACAUAUGUCUUUGCUGCUCAGGUCUUCGUUCGACGCACCUCCAUCCACCCCACCACCACCAGGUCUUCGUUCGACGCACCUCCAUCCACCCCACCACCACCAGGUCGGCCUCAGUCUACUUGUCCAGGGGAAGGCUCCGCCCCUGCUAGUCCUGGCAGGAUACGCCGAGUCCGCACGUCACCCUGGAUCAGUGACGAGGCUUAUGCCAAAGAUUUACCAUGCAAAAUAUUCCCAUGUCGUUAUUUAAAUAAAUCCUGUUCAUACUUAUCGGUGAUCGAGUCUUUAUGGGAG